GACGAACGCUGGCGGCGUGCCUAAUACAUGCAAGUAGAACGCUGAAGGAGGAGCUUGCUCCUCUGGAUGAGUUGCGAACGGGUGAGUAACGCGUAGGUAACCUGCCUGGUAGCGGGGGAUAACUAUUGGAAACGAUAGCUAAUACCGCAUAAGAGUAGAUGUUGCAUGACAUUUGCUUAAAAGGUGCAAUUGCAUCACUACCAGAUGGACCUGCGUUGUAUUAGCUAGUUGGUGGGGUAACGGCUCACCAAGGCGACGAUACAUAGCCGACCUGAGAGGGUGAUCGGCCACACUGGGACUGAGACACGGCCCAGACUCCUACGGGAGGCAGCAGUAGGGAAUCUUCGGCAAUGGACGGAAGUCUGACCGAGCAACGCCGCGUGAGUGAAGAAGGUUUUCGGAUCGUAAAGCUCUGUUGUAAGAGAAGAACGAGUGUGAGAGUGGAAAGUUCACACUGUGACGGUAUCUUACCAGAAAGGGACGGCUAACUACGUG
rnacentral:rRNA from 1 species